rnacentral:rRNA from 1 species
GACAGAGGGUGCAAACGUUGUUCGGAAUUACUGGGCGUAAAGCGUGCGCAGGCGGUGAUGUAAGACAGAUGUGAAAUCCCCGGGCUCAACCUGGGAACUGCAUUUGUGACUGCAUCGCUGGAGUGCGGCAGAGGGGGAUGGAAUUCCGCGUGUAGCAGUGAAAUGCGUAGAUAUGCGGAGGAACGCCGAUGGCGAAGGCAAUCCCCUGGGCCUGCACUGACGCUCAUGCACGAAAGCGUGGGGAGCAAACAGG